rnacentral:lncRNA from 1 species
CCGGCACCCUGCACAGGUGAAGCCUAGUGUUGGAUACUAUCUACAAAACUUCACAUCUUUCCAGCCGGUCCAAAGCAAUCACAAAACAAAUCAGCAUAUGUUCAAGGGCUGUAUCAUCAGGGUCAGAAAGGGAAAAGAUGAUAGACUCAGCCAGGGUUUCUAAGAAAAGGCAAUGUUAUAAUUUACAUGCCUGAGGGCAGAGUUGAGAAAACAAAGGAGGGAAUCCAUCACUCCCCUCUGUGCUUAGAGGGGAGUGGGGACGAUGGGAUUUUGCCCCAGGACCCAGUGGCAGCUGAAGCCCUGGAGAGGGGCUGCCCACCUGGAGACACAACCUCUGCUGGAAUCAAGCCAGGAGGAAGGCAGGGAGCUGGGGAACCAGGUACCCUGAUGUGCGCUUCUCCAUCCUCUGCCCGCCGUGGGGGGGACCCAAGCGGCACUGGAGGACCAAAGAGUCACAGGAGUCAGCUCACAGGGCACAGAACAGGCCCAAGCAUAGCUGUGGGAGUGAGGACAGAGAGUGACAAGGGCUAUGGUGUGCCAGGCAUUUUUUUUUUAAUUCCGAAUGAAUACAUAGAUGAAUGAAUGAAGUGAGCCCAAGACCUGGCCCUCAGUCAGUGUCUGAUGAACUGCAGAAAUGAAUGAAAGGACCACCAUCUCCUUUACGGCCUCCUGUCCCAGAGCCCUGACUACUGUGGCUUUUGUUCCACCGUCUACACAGCCCUCCCCGAUACUCUGCUCUGCACCCUUCCCCAGCCGCCGCUGAUCCCUCAGGGCUUCCUACAAAAGGGUACAGAGAGGUGGGGAUUUANUGUCCGUGAGGAUGUGGGUUCGAUCCUUGGUCUUGCUCAGGGGGUUAAGGAUCCGGUGUUGCUGUGAGCUGUGGUGUAGGUCAAAGGUGCAUCUCAGAUCCUGCUUUGCUGUGGCUGUAGCGUAGGCCAGCAUCUGCAGCUCAGAUUCGCCCCCUAGCCUGGGAACUUCCAGAUGCUGUAGGUGCAGAAAGAAAGAAAGAAGGAAGGAAGGAAGGAAGGGAAGAAAGAAAG